rnacentral:rRNA from 1 species
AACGAACGCUGGCGGCAUGCCUAACACAUGCAAGUCGAACGAGACCUUCGGGUCUAGUGGCGCACGGGUGCGUAACGCGUGGGAACCUGCCCUUAGGUUCGGAAUAACUCCCCGAAAGGGGUGCUAAUUCCGGAUAAUGUCUUCGGACCAAAGAUUUAUCGCCUUUGGAUGGGCCCGCGUUGGAUUAGCUAGUUGGUAGGGUAAAAGCCUACCAAGGCGACGAUCCAUAGCUGGUCUGAGAGGAUGAUCAGCCACACUGGGACUGAGACACGGCCCAGAAUCCUACGGGAGGGAGCAGAGGAGAAUACUGGACAAUGGGCGAAAGCCUGAUCCAGCAAUGCCGCGUGAGUGAUGAAGGCCUUAGGGUUGUAAAGCUCUUUUACCCGGGAUGAUAAUGACAGUACCGGGAGAAUAAGCUCCGGCUAACUCCGUG